GAAGCGGAACGGAUGAUCGCAUGCGCAAGCGUGAGGAAAGUCCGGGCUUCACAGGGCAGGAUGCCGGAUAACGUCCGGCGGAGGCGACUCCCGGGAAAGUGCAACAGAAAACAAACAGCCGCGCAAACGGUAAUGGUGAAAAGGCAGUGUAAGAGACUACCGGUCUGACGGUAACGGCAGACGCAUUGUAAACCCCAUCCGAAGCAAGACCAAACAGAGGACUAUGGGCCGGCCCGGUCCGUCUUCAGGUAGGUCGCUAAAGCCUGGUGGUAACAUCAGGAUCAGACAGAUGAUCAUCUCGGCGCGAAAGCGCUAUGACAGAACCCGGCUUACAGUUCCGCUUUUAUU
rnacentral:RNase_P_RNA from 1 species